rnacentral:rRNA from 1 species
GUCUACGGCCAUACCACCCUGAAUACGCCCAAUCUCCUCUGAUCUUGGAAGCUAAGCAGGGUCGAGACUGGUUAGUACUUGGAUGGGAGAAAAAGAAGUAUCUCAGGUU